CUUAAGAGCUUACCAAAGCGAACAGAGAGAGAGAGAGAGAGAGAUGGACUUCGUCUAUGAGAGCACGAAUAGUGCAUUUGACAAUAUUACGUAGAAAGCAGUUGAAGAGGCCACAAAAUUCUUGCUUACUACUGUUUCACAUGAGAAAAGGGUUAGAUUGCCAAAUUUUGUACUAACAUUCACCCCAGUUAACAUAAUUUCUAGCACUAGUUCAGGUCGUGUUUGUUGGCUUCCUUAUUUAUGUAUUAUUGUUUUGUUUAUUUUAGGAGGAGGCCAUUGCCUCUAUUUGAAGGCCAUUUGUUGCUAUACUGAAUUAUAAACGACUCUCCAAUGGAUAUGUACAUAUAAAAUUAGUGUUGGAUAAGAGUAAUAUAUUGAUUUUGUAUGGAGAAAUGAUACUUGCAUUUUAUAAGGCACAAUGUCUUUCAGUGGGAUCAUUUGUUGUUGAUGAUGAGGAUGUAAAUCUAGCGAAAUCAAUUCUUGACAAAGAUAAUUCGAAAAGAGUGAAAAUCUUGUUACCAAAUGUAGUUGUGGUUGACAAGUUUACUUAUUAUGGAAAGAACAAGGUGGUGGCAGCAUCAACAAUCUCGAAUGGUUGGACUGGAAUGGACAUCGGACUUGAAUCAGUCGAUUUGUUUAAAAAUGCUCUGGACACUGCGAAAACUGUUGUGGGAACCUGAUGGGACAUAUGACUUUGGGAAGUUUAGCCGAGCAUCAGAGGUACCGAAUUUCCUAUAUUCAACUUUAAUAUUUAUCGAAUUCUAAUAGAACUUAUAUUUUAUGAUUAAUUGUAGACUAUUUCAUAGAAGCUAUUUGAACUUGAAGACAAAGAAGUGAAAGUACUCAUUGGAAUGCAAACAGAAAUUGAUAGGAGACCUAAAUUAUUGUACAAGUGACUACUUAAUGGAGGGCAUCGACUGGCAGUAAGGUUUUAUAGUGAGAACACAGUAU
rnacentral:lncRNA from 1 species